rnacentral:rRNA from 1 species
AAGUGAGAAUGCCGGUGUGAGUAGCGAAAGACGGGUGAGAAUCCCGUCCACCGAUUGACUAAGGUUUCCAGAGGAAGGCUCGUCCGCUCUGGGUUAGUCGGGUCCUAAGCUGAGGCCGACAGGCGUAGGCGAUGGAUAACAGGUUGAUAUUCCUGUACCACCUAUAAUCGUUUUAAUCGAUGGGGGGACGCAGUAGGAUAGGCGAAGCGUGCGAUUGGAUUGCACGUCUAAGCAGUAAGGCUGAGUAUUAGGCAAAUCCGGUACUCGUUAAGGCUGAGCUGUGAUGGGGAGAAGACAUUGUGUCUUCGAGUCGUUGAUUUCACACUGCCGAGAAAAGCCUCUAGAUAGAAAAUAGGUGCCCGUACCGCAAACCGACACAGGUAGUCAAGAU